rfam:Populus trichocarpa isolate Nisqually-1 chromosome 17, whole genome shotgun sequence.
GAGUGCGAUCAUACUAGCACUAAUGCACCGGAUCCCAUCUGAACUCCAAAGUUAAAUGUGGUUGGGCGAGAGUAGAACUAGGAUGGGUGACCUCCUAGGAAAUCCUCGUGUUGCACCCC